rnacentral:rRNA from 1 species
AGGACGAACGCUGGCGGCGUGCUUAACACAUGCAAGUCGAGCGAGGCCCUCUCUUCGGAGAGGUGCCCUAGCGGCGAACGGGUGAGUAACACGUGGGCAACCUGCCCCUAGCACUGGGAUAAGCCCGGGAAACCGGGUCUAAUACCGGAUAUGACCUUCAAGGGCAUCCUCGAAGGUGUAAAGGAUUCUGGCUAGGGAUGGGCCCGCGGCCUAUCAGCUUGUUGGUGGGGUAAUGGCCCACCAAGGCAACGACGGGUAGCCGGCCUGAGAGGGCGACCGGCCACACUGGGACUGAGACACGGCCCAGACUCCUACGGGAGGCAGCAGUGGGGAAUAUUGCACAAUGGGCGAAAGCCUGAUGCAGCGACGCCGCGUGAGGGAUGACGGCCUUCGGGUUGUAAACCUCUUCAGCUCCGACGAAGCGAAAGUGACGGUAGGAGCAGAAGAAGCACCGGCCAACUACGCGCCAGCAGCCGC